rnacentral:lncRNA from 1 species
UGCAAAUGAACUCCCUAGACAAAGGCCUCCAGAGGGUGGGGACAGGCCCAAGUGAGGCCCAGAUUGAGGCUCAGCAGCCCCCUUCUCCAUCCAGGGUUUGCAAGGUCCGAGGGGAACCCCUGGCCCAGUGGUGAGUAUCCUAGACUCCUCCCCCCCCACUCCUGCCCCCAUCCUAUCCCAUCCCACAGGGGGCAGUAGUGCCUUAGUUUCCCUGGUCGGGUGGGACUGGCUCCCCCUCAUCAGACUCUUUCUCUCUCCAUCAGGGUGGCCAUGGAGACCCUGGGCCACCCGGUGCCCCGGUAAGUCACAGGAGACUACGGCCUGUUGGGGGUGGGCUGGGGAUUGGUCCCCACUGAUGAGCCAGGCCUUGUUUGUGUGAAUCCCCGAGCCCGGGCAGAUAACUCUGACCCCUGCCCCCUUCUCUUAAUACUUUUUUCUAGGGUCUUGCUGGCCCCGCAGGACCCCAGGGUCCUUCUGGCCUGAAGGGGGAACCUGGAGAGACGGGACCACCGGGACGGGGUCUGCCUGGACCCACUGGAGCUGUGGGACUUCCUGGCCCUCCUGGCCCUUCAGGCUUGGUGGGUCCUCAGGGGGCGCCAGGUUUGCCUGGACAAGUGGUGAGUCCUGGGGGUCGAGGCCGUGCUCCAGGGGUCAGGAGUCCGUGGGCAGGCCCCUGACAGAGCUCCUCCCUCUCAGGGGGAGACGGGAAAGCCAGGAGCCCCAGGUCGUGAUGGUGCCGGUGGAAAAGAUGGAGACAGAGGAGCUCCUGGCGUGCCGGUGUGUGUUCUGGG